GAAUCGAGAUUUUGCAAAUCCGGUACAAAGUUAUUCGCAGAAAUUAUAAGCCGAAAAAAAACUGAAAUACUGACCCGAAAAAAAACUGACCCGAUCCGACCCGAAACCCGUUCUGACCCGGACCCGACCUGAUUCGACCCGAAACCCAUUCUGACCCGGACCCGUUUCGACCCGAACCAAAACAACCCUUUUUAAUAAUUGACCCUUUUUGACCCGAACCCGUUUUGACCCAUGACCCAACCCGACCCGUCUUUACUAUUCAGGUAGUAUGCAAACAGAGGUGUGCAUUUGAAUCUCAAGCGUGCGGAAAAGACCAGAAUUUUGGUGCCCAAAAUUCAAGAUAGCAUGAAGAAUAGAUUACCUUGCUGGUAUAGAAGAUGUGAAAAAGUUAUAUAUUCAGGAGUGUUUUUACUUAUACAUGCCUAAACAACUUCUAGAAAUGUUGCUUGUGGGGCAAAAUGUAAACAACUGGAUGGAUACCAAGUUCUGUGAUAACCCCCAUCUCAAAAGAAUUUUGUUAGAAGUGGUGGCCAGCUAGGUGGAGAGCUUUUACUCAACCUACCAAACACCCCUAAGCAAAAACCAGGUUACCUAUUUUGCUACACCGGACGAAAUAUUUACGUUAAUAUACAUUUUUUUUUUUGUGAAGCUUCAUCUGAGUUAGCUGAAAAGGAAUGCACCUACAAAACAUACAAGACAUGUACUGUUAGCAGGAUGUGUCGCCAUCUCUACCCGCGACUAACCAAAAAUAAAAAAAAGACCCAUUUGUAAAAGAAAAAAACCCAUCGCACUCACGGUCAAGGCUACAACACUUGGGAAACCUGUGGUUGAUUCUUGCUACCGUAGAUCUAAGAGGCAAACUAUACAUGCUGCUUAGACAAAAUGCAAGGAGAUUCUACAUGGUUGAUGUCCACAGAUACCCUCCUGGGGCCUAGGCCCCCUUUAGUUUGACGGGUCAGUUUAUGUAGGCUACUUCCUAUCACACCUUGAAAUUGUUGGGAAUAAUCUUGAUCGAGUCAACGGGUUGAAACAACAAAAAUGAUCUCUUGGCUAUACAAGGGUGAGCAAAAAACUGGUCAUACCCACCAGAGACUGCAUGAACUGACACGCUAAGACCCGUCUAGGCUACAUGUGGUGCGGUUUAACACCCAUUAAUCGGUUUCUGGGUUGGUUCCGUUAGAACCGAUUGAAUUACUACAGAAGACUUGCAGCACUAAAACCUGAUGUUGUUGAAGUGUUGAUAGAGAAUGACGAAACAUACUUUGGGAGCAACAAAGGUAACUCAGCGAAGAUGAAACACUUAUACGACUGGUAUACAAGGACACUUUCGUCUUUGUAGCUGGAAAAUAUGAUGAUUAAAGCAAAACAGUUUUGUAAAAAGGUUGACUUUGUAGGUGAAUUUUAAAAGGUAUUAAUCAAAACUGAUUUGGUUGGUUGAAUU
rnacentral:lncRNA from 1 species